ensembl:lncRNA
CUUUAAGAUUUUUUUCCUGAUGUGGACUAUCUUUACCGUCUUUGUCGAAUUUUGUUACAGAAUUGCUUCUGCCUUAUGUCUUAGUGCUUUGGCUGCAGAAGCAUGUGGGAGCUUAGCUCCCUGACCAGGGAUCGAACCCUCACCGCCCCCCUGGGCUGGAAGGUGGAAUCUUAACCACUAGCCACCAGGGAAGUCCAGACCCCUCCUCUUGUGAGGAGCUGUGCCCAAGAGAGAGAGCGGGUGGGCACAUGGGAAAGGCAGACCCACCUGCAUCCUCUUCCUCCAGAGGGGCAGCCGGGACCCCUGUGGAGGGACGGGGUAAAUCCAGGCCAGGACCCAGGACAGAGCCCUGCCUCCAGGAAAGUGGGUCCUGCUGGCACACUGCCCCCUUGCCUACCAUCCGGAACACCAGGAACAGCAGCUCCUGGGCCCCGCUACAUGGCCCUGGAGCCACCUGAGCGCUCCAGCUGGCUCUCCCCUCCCUGCCUGUGGGUGGUAGACAUUGAGAGAUGCCACGGUGCCUGGGCCUGGGGACCACACUCAGCCUCCCCUCCCCUCCCCCUGCACAUCUCCCCACCUUCCCUGGUGCUGGUCCUUUCACCCAGUGAUUGCUUCUUGGAGGAGGACAACCUUUGCCAAAACUUUUAAAUUAUUUUUAAAAGAUUUUGGCCGGCCUGUGGGAUCUUAGUUCCCCCAUCAGGGAUCAAACCUGUGUCCCCUGCAUUGGAAGCAUGAAGUCAACCAUUGAACUGCCAGAGAAGUCCCUGUAUUUCUUACGAUAAAUCUCAGCGUCGCCCUUCCCGGCUGGCCCUUAGCCCUGGGCUCCAGGGUCUCUUUGCCCUGAGUGUGGAGGGCAGGGGUCUCCCUCUCCUCUCGGGGGAGUCAGGAUCAGGGUUGGGUGAUUGCAGCCGGGCCAGGCAGGGGGCUGGGGAGGCCUGGAACCCCCUGGGCAUGGAGGGCUUCCCGGGAUGGCAGGGUGGCCCCAGCCUGGUGGCAGAGGCGAG